rnacentral:lncRNA from 1 species
AAAAUGCUGCUGCUGGUGAGCUUCCCUGGGAUUGCAAACAUGUUUUCUGUCCAGACACAGCUCUGCCCUUUUGACAACAACAGAAAAGCAGUCUUUGGAACGAGACUUCUGCUUAUCAAGAGAGUUUCCCUGCUUCAGAUCUGUCUGGAAACAGUUUACCUCAGGGUUGGCAGGUCAGCAGGUGGAGUAGCUGCAAGGGCUUUACCUCUCCUGCAUAGUCUGGGGAGACCUCACCGUACCCCACAGGUAAGUAUUUGGGAAUCAAUUUUAUCCUCUGAUGCCUCUGCCUUCCUUAUUACCCCCUUUAUAUCAUUAUCUGUUCCUGACCUCACUUCAUGAAACGUGUCUACCUGCCUGGUGAAUCUCAAGUACCCAUCAAAGAGCCCAAGAAUCUUGGACCUUGCCAGACUGAAUACUCAGACUCCUUUCGUAACCAUUUAAAAAUAUGCCAUGGUAUCUGGAGUUCCAAGUCCAGGGGUUUUCUUUGCACUAGGGACUUCAAACACCACCACAGGACUGCAAACAGGAGCCAAGUGGGGGCUCAUUUGUGAAAGCACUGUAUUAGUCUAUUUGUGUCCACUCCCCUCCAUUUUUAUCAGCAAAGCAUCUAUUAGUGAGCAAUUACCAAUUCACCGACCUGAGAGCUUUCUGCUGUGAAAUAUUUCCCAGUGAAUCAACAAGCCAAGUUGUUGGACUGCUAUGAAUGAUAAAAUGGCAUCCUUGGUCCUCUUUUUGAUACUCAGACUAUAUUGUUGCCCUGGGAAGAAACAAGCUCCAAACUCACAUUUAAGACCCCAGAUAAAAAAGUGACGCUCAAGUUGCGCUUCACAGGUGUUUUGGCACUAGCACGUCCACCAGGGAAUUUCUUAAGUCAAAUGAGCAGAUGGACUUGCCAUUUGAUAUCCUGAGCUUGUCCUGCACGAAUCAACUCCUAAAUAUUAUUCUGCUCUGUGGGCAAUUCUCUGCAAUCAAAUCUCUGGUAGGUUUCCCUUGAAAACUGCUCUUGGAAAUUCACCUGACGUGUUUCCUUCCUCUAAAGCUUGUGUAACUACACAGACAGAAGACUUCUUGGGCCAAAGAGAUUCCUGCACAACCAAGAAUGGCAAAAUAAAUAAUAGUUUGACUGGUGAGAAGAAGAAAGAUGCACCAGAGCCUGGAUUUAUAACUGCUAACCAUUCUUCUCAUUUUGCUCAGGAAAGGUACUUUUCUAAUCCACCUGCUCAAUUAUUUCUCAUGCUAUGUGUCUCCUCUUAAUUGUCACUGGGGCAAAGCCUUUAUGUUGUAAGGGGACACCCUAGUAUUUUUUUUAAAGACCUUAGGCGAAGUGAUUGACACUGGAUCCUGGAGUCAGAUGUUCCCAGUGACGCAACUUGUUCUUCCAGUGGCCGAAAAGCUUCCUGCCACGAUUAAGUUAGAACUGUGAAAGUGCUAAAAUGUGUUGUCAGCCUUCCUCUGAUGCAAGCACUUUUAUUAUAGAGCCUAGUUGCAAGGAGUAUAGAAACAUGAAUCCUGUCUCCAAAUACCUCUCCUCUCUGGACUAGGCACUCUAUGCACAAAGGCAAUGUGUUCUCUACAUGCCCUGGGAGCUUGAAAUACACAAGGUAACAGUCAUGCCUCCACCAAACUCAGCUUUUCCUUGGCUCUACUCUUGUCCCAUUUCAUUUGUUCUUCUGGGUUCAUACAACAACUGAAUUAUGGUUGGCAGUCUCCAGUGCUGAAACACUCACCAAGUAGUCUAGUCCAAGCAAGAAGAAGCAACCCAUUCUGUAUUUGAGCUUGACAUGGAAAAUCACUUGUUUGCUUCUUCAAUAGGAGACUGAGAUGGAGCAAAAGUAUGUUUUUAUUGUUUCUGACACAGCCCAUACUUCCUAUGCAAAUGCUUGAGAACCUGGGAGCAAUGGGUGUCAGAUACACCACCAUCCAGUGUUGGAAGAUCCAUUCCCUCUUAAAACAACACAAAGGCCUUUGUCAACUCCCCUCUUCCUGGGUGGUUUCCCUGAGCCUGCUGCAGGGUUCACAGGCAAAGGGUAUUUUUUGGAUGUGGCUGAGUGGUUAGACAGGGAAUAAUCUGGUUUAUUACUGAUGCAUUAAUUUAUGGAUGCUGUGCUACAACUAGUGCAAUAAUACCAAAACACACACAAAGCUAUGGACCAUAAAAUUUUCUAAUUAAAUUGGAAAGGAUGGAGAAACCAAUAGGGAGAAGACUAUACUACCAUUAUAUUUAUGCUUGACUCUUGUAAGUAUUUAUUCCAGAUUACCAUAGACACUGUGUCCCCAUUCUAUCUUGAAAUCAGAGAUGUUGGAAUCCAAAUAUGUGGUUAAUACUCAGAUUGGGAAACUGGGCUCUGUAGAUUUGUAUUGCUUCUGGAGAAUGUUUCUGCCUGAACUGUCUGAGCUAGGGUCAUCUUAAUUCAAGUGCAAUGCAUACCUUUAACUAACUCAAUUUCUGUUACCUAGAUGUGCUUGGUCCAUUGUACAUGCUCAGCAAAUACUGAGAAAAUAAGAGAAUGAAUGGAAAAGAACUCAGUGUGAGAAGAGAGCUAGCCUGAAUCAGCAGUUCCCUAACAUUGCUGCAUAUCCGAUGUGCUUACAAGCUUGUUAUAUUCAAUGUCUUUUCAAGUACCUCUUCCCCAUCG